CAGUAUUAACGAUCCAAGGGGCCGCCCGGCCUAGUAGCAUAAAGCCCAUCUACACAGGACCUGAUUUCCCUCCCGAGGAGUCCUGACAGUUCGGGAGAGUUAUAAAUGCUGGACGGCACAUUUAAUGCUCUGACAGUAACAUUUAUGGCGGAAUGACCAGGUGCGGCUCAACGGCUAGUACCGAACGAGGUCAGUAAACCUACUGGAGGAGUUAUCAUGACCCCGGCCGCCCGGGCUAUUCGGGGAAGGACAACUGUCACCCGUAAUUAGCGCGGAACUCCCGGGACCUCGAGCUCUGAGUCGAGGUGUAUAUAAAGGG
rnacentral:lncRNA from 1 species